rnacentral:lncRNA from 1 species
CCACGGGCUGCAGCGGCACCACGUCCUCUGGCCACGUCUUGGUCACGUCAAGCGGGUCGAAGUCGAAGCGGUCCUCGUGGUCCGGGUCGAUGGUCUGGAUGUAGAAGGUCCACUCCGGGUAGUUUCCGGCGGCGAUGGAGUCGGUGAGGUCCUUGGUGGCGUGGCUGUGGUUGGUGCCGCCGACGGUGACGGCCUCGUCCUCGAGGAGGGACUUGACGCCGCAGGUGGGCUUCCAGUGGAACUUGACGUAGUGCGCCUUGCCGGCGCGGUUGACGAGGGUGUAGGUGUUGACGCCGGAGCCGUCCAUGUGGCGGUAGUCGGCGGGCACGCCGAUGUCGUCGAAGAGGAAGGUGA